rnacentral:sRNA from 1 species
UUAUGUCACUUAUUUGUAGUAAUUUUAAAAGUUACAGCUGGAUGUUGUUUUUAUUAAAGAAUUUACACAAUUCAUUAAAAUGAUCGCUGGACAAAGUUUUAAGAAUCUAUUGCUUAGUUUUAUGUUUCCAGGAGUCAGGUUUGUACCGGAAAACUGUGAAAAGUGCUGGUAGAUUAAAAAGAAACCAUCCUUAACGGAAAGUUCUGUAUGUAUGAUGGCACCGACAUGAGCGGCGUGCUUUGCAAAACAUUUAGCCCGUUCCUUAGCGGGAAUGCCUAUGGGGAAUGGGUCCAAAUAAAGGUUAUGUAUUUUUAUGAGCAUUGUGUUUUGGAUUCUAUAAAUGGUUUUCUUGCUGCAAAUGGGAGUAGAUAUUGCUGGAAGCUUUCUAACACGUUUAAACCUUCUGUACUAUUGAGAGAGGUCAAAUUGGUUAGCGGUCACCUCACACCCGUUGAUAAAGCGCUUCGGUGCCGGUUCCGAAUAACCUGAGGUGUGUGAUCCGACUACCUGUAUUCUUUUACCAUGGUUACAGCGAUACCUAACAGUGGAACCUAAAAUUCGACGCCCUGAGUCGACGAUUUUUACCGCAUAAUUUGAAAACAUGUAUUUAUAUGAGUGUUACCCAAAUAAGUCGGGCGUAUAAAAAUUUCAAAGUUGAAAAUGUUCAGCAUUGAAAAUUAAACGAUUUAUUAUGGUAUCAUAGCCUUACCUUGAUUUUAUUUUACCAUGGUAGAUUCUAAGAUAUGGACUUGAUGUAUUUGGGUAAGACCAUGGCACAAUUACAUAAUGUAGAAAAAAGUUACUACCUAAAUACAUUUUUUCUUAUAUUUGAAAGAAUCCAUGGUAAAAUUAAGAAGAUAACGUCA